rnacentral:rRNA from 1 species
UACGAGGGGGGCGAGCGUUGUUCGGAAUUAUUGGGCGUAAAGGGCGCGUAGGCGGUGCGGUAAGUCACCUGUGAAACCUCUGGGCUUAACUCAGAGCCUGCAGGCGAAACUGCCGUGCUGGAGUGUGGGAGAGGUGCGUGGAAUUCCCGGUGUAGCGGUGAAAUGCGUAGAGUAUCGGGAGGAACACCUGUGGCGAAAGCGGCGCACUGGACCACAACUGACGCUGAGGCGCGAAAGCUAGGGGAGCAAACAGG